AUGCUUUACGGCUUAGGAUCGGGACUUCAAAGACGUUUUGAAUGUCAUGGAGCAUAUAAGAUGUUCCAAGAGAUGAAGUUGAUAUUCCAAGCAAAUGCCCGAGUUGAGAGAUAUGAAGUCUCCAACAAGUUCUAUAGCUACAAGAUAGAGGAGAAUAGUUCUGUCAGUGAACAGAUACUCAGAAUGUCUGGAUAUCAUAAUCACUUGACUCAGCUGGGAGUUAAUCUUCCAGAUGAUAGUGUUAUUGACAGAGUUCUCCAAUCACUGCCACCAAGCUACAAAGGUUUCAUGAUGAACUAUAAUAUGCAAGAGAUGGGGAAGACAAUUCCCGAGCUCUUCGCAAUGCUCAAAGAUGCGGAGGUAGAAAUCAAGAAGGAGCAUCAAGUGUUGAUGGUUAACAAGACCACUAGUUUCAAGAAAAAGGGCAAGGGGGAGAAGGGGAACUUCAAGAAGAAUGGCAAGCAAGUUGCCACUCCCGCGAAGAAACCCAAAGCUGGACCUAAGCCUGAAACUGAGUGCUUCUAUUGCAAAGGGACGGGUCAUUGGAAGCAGAACUGCCCCAAGUAUUUGGCGGAUAAGAAGGACGGCAAAGUGAACAAAGGUAUAUUUGAUAUACAUGUUAUUGAUGUGUACCUUACUAAUGCUCGUAGUAGCGCCUGGGUAUUUGAUACUGGUUCGAUUUCUGAUAUUUGUAACUCAAAAUAG
rnacentral:rRNA from 1 species